rnacentral:rRNA from 1 species
UUCCUACGGGAGGCAGCAGUGGGGGAUAUUGCACAAUGGGGGGAACCCUGAUGCAGCGACGCCGCGUGGGUGAAGGAGUGCUUCGGCAUGUAAAGCCCUAUCGGCAGGGAAGAAGCAAGACGGGACCUGACUAAGAAGCCCCGGCUAAAUACGUGCCAACAGCCGCGGUAAUACGUAGGGGGGGAGCGUUAUCCGGAUUCACUGGGUGUAAAGGGAGCGUAGACAGCCAAACAAGCCA